rnacentral:rRNA from 1 species
GAUGAACGCUGGCGGCGUGCCUAAUACAUGCAAGUCGAGCGAACGGACGAGAAGCUUGCUUCUCUGAUGUUAGCGGCGGACGGGUGAGUAACACGUGGAUAACCUACCUAUAAGACUGGGAUAACUUCGGGAAACCGGAGCUAAUACCGGAUAAUAUUUUGAACCGCAUGGUUCAAAAGUGAAAGGCGGUCUUGCUGUCACUUAUAGAUAGAUCCGCGCUGCAUUAGCUAGUUGGUAAGGUAACGGCUUACCAAGGCAACGAUGCAUAGCCGACCUGAGAGGGUGAUCGGCCACACUGGAACUGAGACACGGUCCAGACUCCUACGGGAGGCAGCAGUAGGGAAUCUUCCGCAAUGGGCGAAAGCCUGACGGAGCAACGCCGCGUGAGUGAUGAAGGUCUUCGGAUCGUAAAACUCUGUUAUUAGGGAAGAACAUAUGUGUAAGUAACUGUGCACAUCUUGACGGUACCUAAUCAGAAAGCCACGGCUAACUACGUG